AACGAACGCUGGCGGCACGUUUUAAGCAUGCAAGUCGAAUGGCAGUGGGGGCAACCCCAUGAGAAUGGCGAACGGGUGAGUAACACGUAGGUGAUCUGCCUUAGGGUUGGGGAUAGCUUGUGGAAACACAGGGUAAUACCGAAUAAGCUGACGGGGCUAUGGCCAAGUUAGUAAAGGUGCUACGGCACCGCCUUGAGAGGAGCCUGCGGCUGAUUAGCUAGUUGGUGGGGUAAAGGCCUACCAAGGCGACGAUCAGUAGCCGGCCUGAGAGGGUGUACGGCCACACUGGGACUGAGACACGGCCCAGACUCCUACGGGAGGCAGCAGCUAAGAAUCUUCCGCAAUGGGCGAAAGCCUGACGGAGCGAUGCCGCGUGAUCGAUGAA
rnacentral:rRNA from 1 species